rnacentral:tRNA from 1 species
GCCAGAGUAGCCAAGGUGGUCACGGCGCGUGUCUGAAAAACAUGAGAUCUCGGUUCGACUCCGAGCUCUGGCA